GUCCCAGUUCGGAUCGUAGUCUGCAACCCGACUACAUGAAGCUGGAAUCGCUAGUAAUCGCGGAUCAGAAUGCCGCGGUGAAUACGUUCCCGGGUCUUGUACACACCGCCCGUCACACAUGGGAGUCGGAAAUGCCCGAAGUCUGUGACCCAACCGAAAGGAGGGAGCAGCCGAAGGCAGGUCGGAUGACUGGGGUGAAGUCGUAACAAGGUAAC
rnacentral:rRNA from 1 species